rnacentral:rRNA from 1 species
UGGGGAAUAUUGCACAAUGGGCGCAAGCCUGAUGCAGCAACGCCGCGUGAGGGACGACGGCCUUCGGGUUGUAAACCUCUUUUAGUAGGGAAGAAGCGAAAGUGACGGUACCUGCAGAAAAAGCACCGGCUAACUACGUGCCAGCAGCCGCGGUAAUACGUAGGGUGCGAGCGUUGUCCGGAAUUAUUGGGCGUAAAGAGCUCGUAGGCGGUCUGUCGCGUCUGCUGUGAAAAUCCCCGAGGCUCAACCUCGGGCCUGCAGUGGGUACGGGCAGACUAGAGUGCGGUAGGGGAGAAUGGAAUUCCUGGUGUAGCGGUGGAAUGCGCAGAUAUCAGGAGGAACACCGAUGGCGAAGGCAGUUCUCUGGGCCGUAACUGACGCUGAGGAGCGAAAGCGUGGGGAGCGAACAGGAUUAGAUACCCUGGUAGUCCACGCCGUAAACGUUGGGCGCUAGAUGUGGGGGACCAUUCCACGGUUUCCGUGUCGCAGCUAACGCAUUAAGCGCCCCGCCUGGGGGAGUACGGCCGCAAGGCUAAAA